rnacentral:rRNA from 1 species
AUUGAACGCUGGCGGCAGGCCUAACACAUGCAAGUCGAGCGGAUGAGUGGAGCUUGCUCCAUGAUUCAGCGGCGGACGGGUGAGUAAUGCCUAGGAAUCUGCCUGGUAGUGGGGGACAACGUUUCGAAAGGAACGCUAAUACCGCAUACGUCCUACGGGAGAAAGCAGGGGACCUUCGGGCCUUGCGCUAUCAGAUGAGCCUAGUACGGAUUAGCUAGUAGGUGGGGUAAUGGCCCACCUAGGCGGCGAUCCGUAACUGGUCUGAGAGGAUGAUCAGUCACACUGGAACUGAGACACGGUCCAGACUCCUACGGGAGGCAGCAGUGGGGAAUAUUGGACAAUGGGCGAAAGCCUGAUCCAGCCAUGCCGCGUGUGUGAAGAAGGUCUUCGGAUUGUAAAGCACUUUAAGUUGGGAGGAAGGGCAGUAAGCUAAUACCUUGCUGUUUUGACGUUACCAACAGAAUAAGCACCGGCUAACUUCGUGCCAGCCGCCGCAGUAAUAC